CAAUAGCGUAUAUUAAAGCUGUUGCGGUUAAAAAGCUCGUAGUUGGAUUUCUGUCAAGGACAACUGGCCCGCCCUCCGGGUGAGCACAUAGUUUGGUCUUGGCAUCUUGCUGGAAGCUGUUGCUGCACUUGGCUGUGUGGCGCAGCGUCCAGCACUUUCACUUUGAGGAAAUUGGAGUGUUUCAAGCAGGCACAUGCCUUUGGACACAGUAGCAUGGAAUAAUUAGAUUGGGCUUUUGCUCCAAUUUGUCGGUUUCUGGAGCUGAGGUGAGAAUUAAUGGGGAUUGUUGGGGGCAUCCGAAUUUAGCCGUCAGAGGUGAAAUUCUUGGAUCUGCUAAAGACGGACAACUGCGAAAGCGUUUGCCCAGGAUGUUUUCAUUGA
rnacentral:rRNA from 1 species